UACGUAGGGGGCAAGCGUUGUCCGGAUUUAUUGGGCGUAAAGAGCGUGUAGGCGGCCAUGUAGGUCCGUUGUGAAAACUCGAGGCUCAACCUCGAGACGCCGAUGGAAACCAUGUGGCUAGAGUCCGGAAGAGGAGAGUGGAAUUCCUGGUGUAGCGGUGGAAUGCGCAGAUAUCAGGAGGAACACCGGUGGCGAAGGCGGGUCUCUGGGCAGUAACUGACGCUGAGGAGCGAAAGCGUGGGGAGCGAACAGG
rnacentral:rRNA from 1 species